rnacentral:rRNA from 1 species
GGAGUCGUUGUAGUGAUAUAGACAUGGACGGAGAACUUGUUUUAGAAAGUGAAAGUUGACUUACAACAAUGGCUUUAGUGGCGGACUGGUGAGUAACACGUAAGCAACCUGCUUAUCAGAGGGGAACAACAGUUAGAAAUGACUGCUAAUACCGCAUAUGCCUUAGCAACACAUGUUGCAAAAAGGGAAAGGAGCAAUCCGCUGAUAGAUGGGCUUGCGUCUGAUUAGAUAGUUGGUGGGGUAACGGCCUACCAAGUCGACGAUCAGUAGCCGGACUGAGAGGUUGAACGGCCACAUUGGGACUGAGAUACGGCCCAGACUCCUACGGGAGGCAGCAGUCGGGAAUAUUGCGCAAUGGAGGAAACUCUGACGCAGUGACGCCGCGUGCAGGAAGAAGGUUUUCGGAUUGUAAACUGCUUUAGACAGGGAAGAACAAAGACAGUACCUGUAGAAUAAGCUCCGGCUAACUACGUGCCAGCAGCCGCGGUAAUACGUAGGGAGCAAGCGUUAUCCGGAUUUAUUGGGUGUAAAGGGUGCGUAGACGGUAAUGCAAGUUAGUUGUGAAAUCCCUCGGCUUAACUGAGGAACUGCAACUAAAACUACAUUUCUUGAGUAUUGGAGGGGAAAGUGGAAUUCCUAGUGUAGCGGUGAAAUGCGUAGAUAUUAGGAGGAACA